AUUGAACGCUGGCGGCAUGCCUUACACAUGCAAGUCGAACGGUAACGGGCCUUCGGGUGCCGACGAGUGGCGAACGGGUGAGUAAUGUAUCGGAACGUACCUUUCAGUGGGGGAUAACGUAGCGAAAGUUACGCUAAUACCGCAUAUUCUGUGAGCAGGAAAGCAGGGGAUCGCAAGACCUUGCGCUGAUUGAGCGGCCGAUAUCAGAUUAGCUAGUUGGUGAGGUAAAGGCUCACCAAGGCGACGAUCUGUAGCGGGUCUGAGAGGAUGAUCCGCCACACUGGAACUGAGACACGGUCCAGACUCCUACGGGGGGCAGCAGUGGGGAAUUUUGGACAAUGGGGCAACCCUGAUCCAGCCAUGCCGCGUGAGUGAAGAAGGCCUUCGGGUUGUAAAGCUCUUUCGGCCGGGAAGAAAUCGUAUCAGCUAAUACCUGGUGCGGAUGACGGUACCGGCAUAAGAAGCACCGGCUAACUACGUGCCAGCCGCCGCCGUAAUAC
rnacentral:rRNA from 1 species